UACAAUUCCUGUAAUCUAUAAUGGUGGUCCUUUUUAAAGAUGAUAAAUGUGCUGAUCACUCUCCAUAGCUAAACUACAAUAUGCUUAACUGAAACUAUUUCUGCUAAUCCAACAAUUUGUUCACUAUUGUGCAUAGCUAAAGCAUAAUGUGUUGCUAUAUAUGUUAUGUCUGUGUAAAAAAAAAAGCUGUUGAGCACUGUCCAUACUGCAUAUCUGCAAGUACAUCUCAGUUUACUCCAGCCUCAUCUAUAUAUAUGUUAUGUGUGUUUGGAAUUUGCAUUUUACAAUUUGCGGUUUACCUUAAUAGUUGAUAGAUACCAUGGACUUUUAUCUAUAUAUCACAUGUCCUAAUACAUGUAUGAUUGCUCCAGUAAGUUCCAAAUAAUAGCUGGCUACUGUUCUAUGCUAUUUAGUUAUAUACAUGUCAUCAAGUCGUAGAUCUCGCAUGCGACGGCGCAUGCGAAGCGACUCUCUUUCACCUCCAACGAACAUGCCAGCUAUCAAUUAUCCAGAACCCCCUGCAACACCUGUUUCAAUUUCAUACCUACAACCAGACUGCCAGAAGCUACAAAACACAAUAACAAGGGAUCAUUUCUGUCCCAUUGUACCACCGCAUAUCGCUACAUAGAAUCGCAAGAAAAGAAAACGUUGGAACUAUUUCAAAGCUCUGGCGCAACAAGGUU